rnacentral:rRNA from 1 species
ACGUAGGGUGCGAGCGUUGUCCGGAAUUAUUGGGCGUAAAGAGCUUGUAGGCGGUUUGUCGCGUCUGCUGUGAAAUUUCGGGGCUUAACCCCGAACUUGCAGUGGGUACGGGCAGACUAGAGUGUGGUAGGGGAGACUGGAAUUCCUGGUGUAGCGGUGAAAUGCGCAGAUAUCAGGAGGAACACCAGUGGCGAAGGCGGCAUCCUGGACCGAUAUUGACGCUGAUGCGCGAAAGCCAGGGGAGCAAACGGGA